rnacentral:sRNA from 15 species
GUGAAGGAUAACGUUGCGUCAGCAACGGCCCGUAGGGCGAGGCGAAGCCGAGUCAUCCUGCACGACCCACCA